rnacentral:rRNA from 1 species
UACAGAGGUCUCAAGCGUUGUUCGGAUUCAUUGGGCGUAAAGGGUGCGUAGGUGGCGCCAUAAGUCAGGUGUGAAAUCUCGAGGCUCAACCUCGAAACUGCACUUGAUACUGUGGUGCUCGAGUACUGGAGAGGAGAUUGGAAUUUACGGUGUAGCAGUGAAAUGCGUAGAUAUCGUAAGGAAGACCAGUGGCGAAGGCGAAUCUCUGGACAGUUACUGACACUGAGGCACGAAGGCCAGGGGAGCAAACGGG